UCCUGACCUCAGGUGAUCCACGUGCCUCAGUCUCCCAUAGUGCUGGGAUUACAGGCAUGAGCCACCCCACCUGGCAAGAAUAUCGUAGCUUUGAGUAAGGGCACAAGGGGCGCUGCUCUGUGGAUGUCACAGGACUUGACAUUCAGUCUUUUUCUCAGAGUCAUUUUUGGCACUAUUUUUGGCUCUCUAGUAGUCUCUACCAUAAUUCAGUUUAUUGGUGCUUUAAAAAACGAACAGACCAACCAUCCAAUGCUGGCAAGGAUAGGAAGGAACACUCAUUUAUUGCUGGUGGGGACUCAAAAUGGUACAGACACUUUGGAAGACAAUUUGGAAAUUUCUUACAAAACUAAACAUGUUCUUAUCAUAUGAUCCAGACAUCCUGUUCCUUGGUAUCUACACAAAGGAGUUGAAAACUUCAUAUCCACACAAAAGUCUGCACAUGGAUAGCAGCUUUAUGCAUAAUUGCCAAAAGUUGGAAGCAAUCAAGAUGUCCUUCAGGAGGCGUAUGGAUAAAUAAACUGGUCCAUCCGGACAAUAGAGUAUUAUUUAGCAUUAAAAGCAAAUGAGCUCUCAAGCCAUGAAAAGACAUGGAGGAAAUCUAAAUGCCUCCAUGGAAAAAAGCCAGUCUGGAAAGGCCACACACUGUUUGAGUCUGACUACAUGAUAUUCUGGAAAAGGUAAACACUACGGAGACAAUGAAAAGAUCAGGGUUGGGGGAGGGAGUGAUGAAUGAGUGGAGCACAGAGGAUUUUUUGGGCAGGGAAAUUACUUUGCUCAGAUGAUACUAUAGUGGUUAGAACAUGUCAUUAAACAUCUAUCCAAACCCACAGAAUGUUCAGCACCAAGAGCACCAAGAGUGAACCCUAAUGCAGGCUGCGGACUCAGAGAUGAUGACGUAGGUUCAUCAAUUGUCACAAAGGAACCACUCUGCUGGGGACUAUCGAUAGGGAGGCUGUGCACUUGUAGGGUAGGUAGGAGGUACAUGAGAAAUCUCUGUUCCUUCCUCUCAACUUUGCUGUGAACCUAAAACUGCUCUAAAGCCUGUUUUUUAAAACAUGAAGGGACCAGAGAACGUCUUGCUCACGGGUGCCCAGGGCUGCGCUCACUGGCUCGAGUGCAAUGCACCAGUUGUUUUUUACUGGGUUGUCAGUUACUCAAGAGUAUUCAUUGCUUUCUGCACUUUGUUUCCGCAAUGCCACUACAUAAACAGCAGUGCAGGUACUAAAGGUUUAACAAACUCUUGUUGAAAUAAAAUGAAGAUAAAAUACACUUGAUGCUUCUCAUAAUAAAUACGUAUUUUCACCUACUUAAACAGUAUCAUAGCCUUGAUGUCGACAGAAAACUAUUACCAAUGGGGUUUCUGGAGGCUCUGGAGCCUGGGAUAGCCUCAGACUUGCACAGGGCAUGGUGCUAGGAGGCCAGGCUCAGGGCUAGAAGAGAAGCUGAGUUCUGUAAAAGCCUAACUCCCUCAGGAACUUGAUCCAGGAAGAGGCUUUUUGCUCUGUGUGCUCUAAGGGUCAGCCUUUGGCCACCACUGCCUGGCUUUACAACACAGUGCACAGAGCAGAGCUGGCUCUGCUGGACAAAGUCCUUUACCCUCUGAGAGCCUCAGUUUCCUCAUCUAUAAAAAGGGAAUGAGGAUAUUGCAGAUUACUCUGGGCACUGCAUGAGAUCAUGUCUAUAAAUAAAGGGCUUGGCAGAGUGAGUGGCUAAUAUGAGUGUCAAUGAAUGGAAAUUGUUUAUUCUCAACAUCAAAUAUUAGGAGAUAUUUCAUGAUCAUAAUAAAGUGUUGGAGAUGGAAUUAGGGUGUGAACUCCUCCUAUCUCACCCCACCUUCUCUCUAUCCCACUUGCUGUUGGCACAUAUUAAGAUGGCGAAUUUAUUGACUUUCACAACCUGUCUUCCUUCUUUCCCUCUUUCUUCAUUCUACCUCUUUCUCCCCCUUCUUUAUUUUCCUUUACCUCUCUCUCUUUUUCUUUAACUGCCUCCUUUUCUUUUAUUAUCUUAAAAAUGAGUUUAUUUUGUCUCCUUGCUAUUUCUGGCCAACUAACUAAGGGUCUUGUAUGGAGAUCUUUUUGCCAAGGCCAUAUUAAGCUCACCAGGUUGCUAAACUUAGACUAGCCUGUUUCUGCUCUCCCUUGGAAGGUCUGCAAUACCAUAAACAAGAAAGGUAUGAGGUCAAAGGAUUCUUGUUCUGAGCAAAGGGGACAGUUUCACACAGAGCUUCCCAGAAUGAAGGCAGGGCCUGACAGGAACGAGGUGGGAGGCCUCUGGCAUAAUCUAAACAGAGCAGUUAUUACCUUCCUCCCUGCCAAGUCAAUGCCACUGCCCAUCUCGGAAGCCAUUUUUCAAAUUGCUUUUUGGCCAGCUCAGCACAAAACCUACAUGACAGCUUUACUUUGGGAGAGCAACAGAAAAAGGCAGUCUCCUGCAGGAUCAGGCCCUUUUGUUGGUCCCUCUAAUUCUCUCCAAAGCACCAUGUGGAAUUUUUGUCAUGACUUGUGCCCAAAUAGGACGAAGACUCAGGGAAGAUAUAAGCACUCAGUGGCCCAUGUAAUGGCGCAAAUGAAUGAGGUGUUAUAAGGUAGAAACUGCAGUAGGAAGAGGCCUGGGAUGGAAUUCUAGUUCUGCCACUUGCUCACGGGGGGCAGGUGAGUUAGCCUCUGUUUCGUAAACUGGGGGGAAGUUGUAAGGUGAUGUUUGUAAAGCACCUGUCAGGUACCUAGGGCAGAGCAGGUGCUGAAUGAUCCUAACCAGGCUGGUUUCUUAGUCUCCUUUUUCUCAUGUAUAAAAGGGAGAAAGACAACAAUGCCCCUUUUGCAGAGUUCUUUGGGAAAUUAAAUGAUCUCUCUAGCAAAUGGUGAGUACCACAUGUGUGUGCCUCUCCUCCUCCCUUCUCCUGGAAAACCUCCAAGUUGCAGACUGUAUUUUCCAAAGAUGAACACAAUCAUAUCUCCUAUCCCACAUUCUCUUCUAGAAUCCUACCACUCCCCCAUCAAAUGGUGGAAUCUUAAUUCCUCUCUCUGAAUCUGAGUAGGCUUGGAAAUUGCUUACACACCAUAUGGUAGAAGUAAUUCUGUGGGACUGCAGAGAUGCCAUCAUAAAAGGCAAUGUAGCUUCUCUCAAAUUAGUUGGGAUCCUUGCUAUUGAAGCCUUCAGAUGACACGUAAGCAGUUAACUGCUUUGAGGCUGCCAUGCUAUAAGGAAGCCCAACUUAGCCUGCGUGGAGAGACCAGAGAGUUCCCAGAUGCUCCAGCCCCACCCUUCAACAGUUGCUGCCUGAACUGCAACCUCAUGAGAGACUGAAACAAAAACUAUUCAGGUCUACUGCAAUAAUCUAACUGGUUUCCCAUUUGCAAAUUGCUCAUAUCUGGGAGCUUUGUUUUUCACACUGCCACCAGAAUUGGCUUCCUAAAACCAGUGCAAGCCUUCAGCAUUACAAACAUCAGAUUGCACAUACCUUUGCUUGUAUGCUUGCUUCUGGCUGCGAAUCCGCCCUGGGCUCUGACUAUGCUGUAUUCCUGACUCAUGCUGCUUCGAGGCUCGCCUGUCCUGACGUACGCCCAUAAUUCACAACUCUGCAGCUUCCCAGAACCCCAAUGCUACACUUCAAGGACAUUUGGCUCCUACUCACUGAAGGUAGGAGCAGAUUCAAGAGGAGAGACAGGAAGUGGCAAGUGAGAGGUAGUGACAUCCGGUCACGAACUCUCCCUGCCGAAAAAAGGUCUUAGAGCAAUGUGCUGUGUGAUGAGACCCCUCCACCUCUUCUUUUCUUACAAUCAGCCUGACACUACUAUGGUUUUCUGCUUGCUUCUCUUCACAGCUGCGACUUGUAAGAAAGACCCUUCAUCAUUUUACAGAGGUGAUUUGUGCCAUAACAAACGGCUAUAAAGAGCGCCACAACUGCAGUGGGCCAAGCACCAGAUGUGACACGGAAUAUGUGAUAUGAUGCUGAUACAGCUGGCCUGAGAUCAUACUCUUGGAACCACCAGUCUAUGGAGGAAGAGAUGCUGAGAGUGGAAGACUCUUAUUACCUGAGUGAAAUCUGAAUGCCAAGAUGUGUGCGUGUGGACAUCCAAAGGUUCCCUGCCCCAGCUGCACACCCAGAAUAUGCAGUCCCUGGGUCACCUCGCUGUCCUGGCCUGGCAUCACAUUGCUGAAGCCGUCUUUAUGCAGACAAGACAGACUCCGGGACUUGAGCUCCAACUCCCUUGUGAACUGCCCAUCAACCUGGGCUCACCUGCAUUACAGAGGGUCAGUUCCUGCUGCUGAGUGACUGCUGAUCAGCUCUGGUGUGGACAGCCCAGCCAAAUUCUCCAUCAUCCAGUGGACUGCAAGAACACUUUCUCCAGUGGACCUGAACCUCGGUCCUUACGAGGGAACCCAGUUCCAAAUUUGUCCUUACUUGCGGACUUUUUCUUAGCUCUAGACUGCCCUUGAGAGUCCUCGUUAUAGUUACUCCACUGUCAUAGUUUAAUGAUUUUUUAAAUAUUGUUCCUUUUUUUUUUCAAUUGGCCGUGUGAUUUCUGUCUCCUAAUUGCUCCCCCUGAGAGAGGAACUGAGUGGAUGGUGGUCCUUACUGAGACAGAGAAGGAGGAACACCUUUUGGUGGUAAAGAUAAUGAAUUCAUAUUUGCAAUUGCUACAUUUAAGGUUUGUGUGGGACCUCCAGGCGGAGAAAUCAAAUAAGUGAUUAGGGCAAGAAUGUAGAACUCAGGUUAGUGAUACAGAUGUCUUGAGCACAUCUGUAGUAGUUGAAGUGAAUUGCCCCAGAAAGGACAUAUAGAGUUUCAGAGCUAAGCAAGGUCAAGAACAGAAUCCUUAGGAUUCCCCAAGUUUAAGGACUAGGUAGAGUGAAGGAGUGAGCAAAAGAGAUGAGAAGGAGCAGUCUCAGAGGUAGGAGGAGACCUAGCAGAGCUGGAAGAAUAAGUUAUCUCAGUCAGGCGCGGUAGCUCACACCUGUAAUCCCAGCACUUUGGGAGGCCGAGGCAGGCAAAU